UACGUAGGGACCAAGCGUUGUUCGGAUUUACUGGGCGUAAAGGGCGCGUAGGCGGCGUGGUAAGUCAGUUGUGAAAUCUCCGAGCUUAACUCGGAACGGCCAACUGAUACUGCUGUGCUAGAGUGCAGAAGGGGCAAUCAGAAUUCUUGGUGUAGCGGUGAAAUGCGUAGAUAUCAAGAGGAAUACCAGAGGUGAAGACGGGUUGCUAGGCUGACACUGACGCUGAGGCGCGAAAGCCAGGGGAGCAAAACGGGG
rnacentral:rRNA from 1 species